rnacentral:rRNA from 1 species
UGGGGAAUUUUCCGCAAUGGGCGCAAGCCUGACGGAGCAAUACCGCGUGGGGGAUGAAGGUUUGUGGAUUGUAAACCCCUUUUCUCUAGGAAGAAAUUUGACGGUACUAGAGGAAUAAGCAUCGGCUAACUCCGUGCCAGCAGCCGCGGUAAGACGGAGGAUGCAAGCGUUAUCCGGAAUUAUUGGGCGUAAAGGGUCCGCAGGUGGCUAAUCAAGUCUGCUUUCAAAGAGUGGAGCUCAACUCCAUAGAGGGAGUGGAAACUGAUUAGCUAGAGUAAGGAAGGGGUAAGAGGAAUUCCCAGUGUAGCGGUGAAAUGCGUAGAUAUUGGGAAGAACACCAGCAGCGAAGGCGUCUUACUGGUCCUUAACUGACACUGAGGGACGAAAGCUAGGGGAGCGAAAGGGAUUAGAUACCCCCGUAGUCC